rnacentral:rRNA from 2 species
CCCGCACACCGGUGGAGCAUGUGGUUUAAUUCGAAGCAACGCGAAGAACCUUACCAGGUCUUCAUCCUCUGACAAUCCUAGAGAUAGGACGUCCCCUUCGGGGGCAGAGUGACAGGUGGUGCAAAGUCAGCUCGUGUCGUGAGAUGUUGGGUUAAGUCCCGCAACGAGCGCAACCCUUGAUCUUAGUUGCCAGCAUUCAGUUGGGCACUCUAAGGUGACUGCCGGUGACAACCGGAGGAAGGUGGGGAUGACGUCAAAUCAUCAUGCCCCUUAUGACCUGGGCUACACACGUGCUACAAUGGACAACAAAGGGCAGGGGAACGCGAGGUUAAG